rnacentral:rRNA from 1 species
AGCAGCCGCGGUAAUUCCAGCUCCAAUAGCGUAUAUUAAAGUUGCUGCAGUUAAAAAGCUCGUAGUCGAAUUUCGGGACCAUCAUGUCGGUCGUGCCUCGGUACGUACUGGCAUUGUUGGUUUCUCCCUUCUGACGAACCAUGAUGUCAUUAAUUUGGUGUCUUGGGGAAUCAGGACUGUUACUUUGAAAAAUUAGAGUGUUUAAAGCAGGCUCACGCUUGAAUACAUUAGCAUGGAAUAAUGAAAUAGGACGUUUGAUUCUAUUUUGUUGGUUUCUAGGAUCGACGUAAUGAUUAAUAGGGAUAGUUGGGGGCAUUAGUAUUCAAUUGUCAGAGGUGAAAUUCUUGGAUUUAUUGAAGACUAACUACUGCGAAAGCAUUUGCCAAGGAUGUUUUCAUUAAUCAAGAACGAAAGUUAGGGGAUCGAAGACGAUCAGGUACCGUCGUAGUCUUAACCAUAAACUAUGCCGACUAGGGAUCGGAUGAUGUUAAUUUUUAAUGA